rnacentral:tRNA from 1 species
GUGUAGGUGGUGCAAUGGUUAGCACGUCGGGUUGUGGCUCCGGAGAUGCGAGUUCAAUUCUCGUCUUACACCCCA